GAUGAACCCUGGCGGCGUGCCUAAUACAUGCAAGUCGAGCGAACUGAUUAGAAGCUUGCUUCUAUGACGUUAGCGGCGGACGGGUGAGUAACACGUGGGCAACCCGCCUGUAAGACUGGGAUAACUUCGGGAAACCGACGCUAAUACCGGAUAGGAUCUUCUCCUUCAUGGGAGAUGAUUGAAAGAUGGUUUCGGCUAUCAGUUACAGAUUGGCCCGCGGUGCAUUAGCUAGUUGGUGAGGUAACGGCUCACCAAGGCAACGAUGCAUAGCCGACCUGAGAGGGUGAUCGGCCACACUGGGACUGAGACACGGCCCAGACUCCUACGGGAGGCAGCAGUAGGGAAUCUUCCGCAAUGGACGAAAGUCUGACGGAGCAACGCCGCGUGAGUGAUGAAGGCUUUCGGGUCGUAAAACUCUGUUGUUAGGGAAGAACAAGUACGAGAGUAACUGCUCGUACCUUGACGGUACCUAACCAGAAAGCCACGGCUAACUACGUGCCAGCCGCCGCCGUAA
rnacentral:rRNA from 1 species